UAAUGAUUGACCGUGACCAAAAGGUGCUCAAUGCCGUCAAACAUGUUUUUCCAGAUGCAAAGGUUCUCCUUUGUUGGUUCCAUGUGCUUCAGGCUGUUAAUAGAUGGCUUGUGAAGACUGAUGGAGGGCACUUGACAACUGACCAGAGAAAUGUGGUCAUACAUGCCAUAGUGUCCAUGAAAGCAUGCCUAAAGGAAGAAGAAUUUCUGAGUGUGUCUGCUAAAAAGUGCAGCAAGAUUGACACCUAUUUAGGUAGUACACAUGUAACAACCUACCUAAAGACCAAUUGGUUCCCUUAUGCUGAGCUGUGGGUUAUUUUGGCAGAACAUUCUUUCACUGUAGCAGUGAGACCAACAACAAGGCAGAGAGAUUCUUCCUUACACUGAAGUAUCAGUUUCUACGGGUCCAGGCCAACAAGAGAGUUGACCAACUUCUACAUUUGCUGUGUGGAGAUAUGCAGAAGUAUUACAGUUACAUGGAUGACCUCACAGAAGCUGGAAGGCUGAAAGUGGACACCUCCGCUGCUGCUAAGGAAGCUGCAGUCAUGUUUGAAAAGGGUCUUGGCUCAAACUUAAACAUUGACGAAAAUGGAAAAUGUAAUGUAAAAUCUGAAUCUGGUCCCAACUGCUACACAGUCAAUUUAGUUAACUUUAUGUGUGAUUGCGAAAGUUUCGGAAUAGGUAACCUGUGUAAACACAUCAUUUUAGUGAAGACAGAGGCAUGGACAUUGAGAACAUGCAAAAUACAGAAGCAGAAAAAGUAAUCUACAGUCAACUGUACCACAAAAAUGAUGACAACAUAACCGUCUUCCAUAGUGAUGGAAGCAUUAGUAUUGUCAGUCUGAAAAGUCCAACUUUGUGCACGUGUACAGCAAAUAGUCACAGAGAAAAAUGUGUCUGUAUAUAUGUUGUAAAUAUCCUCCAACCUCAAGAGCUACCCACACACUCAGAAAACACAGUACAGUCACAAAAGCCUGAAGCUGAAUAGAAACCAUCUAUACAUGUUGACAGACCUACUAGAGUGGUGCAAUUCAGAUUGUUUCAAGCCAAGCCAUGACCUGUAUAACACUGUACAAAGAGCACACAAGCUGGCUUUCAGCAACUUCACCAGUGUGUCCAAAAAAAAAGAAAAUUGUGGCUUUACAUGCCUAUAGGCAACAAAUGAAAAGAACAAAGCAUGAUAACUUCCAACUAAAAAGAAGAACAAGGAUACACAACAGACUCCACUCAAAAGACUGAUUUUAUUGAACAACAGUUUUGGUGAACAGUUAUUGAGCAGUGGUCAGGUUGGAGGCUGGCUUGUGUGUCUCUAUGGUAGGAGAAGAACAAGAGAAUAUGCAGAGAAUAUGCAA